AUUGAACGCUGGCGGCAGGCUUAACACAUGCAAGUCGAGCGAGCGGCGGACGGGUGAGUAAUGUCUGGGAAACUGCCUGAUGGAGGGGGAUAAAUACUGGAAACGGUAGCUAAUACCGCAUACCAUCAGAUGUGCCCCGAUGGGAUUAGCUAGUAGGUGGGGUAAUGUCUGACAUAGGCUACGAUCCCUAGCUGGUCUGAGCGGAUGACCAGCCAGACUGGAACUGGACCACGGUCCAGCCUCCUACGGGAGGCCGCAGUGGAGAAUAUUGCACAAUGGGCGGGAGCCUGAUGCAGCCAUGCCGCGUGUGUGAAGAAGACCUUCGGUGUGUAAAGCACUUUCAGCGAGGAGGCGUUACUCGCAGAAGAAGCACCGGCUAACUCCGUGCCAGCAGCCGCGGUAAUUC
rnacentral:rRNA from 1 species